AUGUCAAGGACAAGCCUUUUAGGUUUUCCAUUCCGGUCUUUGCUCCAAUUGACCAGUGACGUGGUAGCUCGAGGUAAAGGAUACCUGAUGAACUGGCGGCCCUCGUCGUUGUCACCAAGCUCAGAGUUACCCGCGCCCGCAAACGAUGAUAGUAUCGGUGGUGCUGCUGCAAUGGGGACCAACGAUGCUGCUGUAGAUUUGACUUGUCACGGUUUUGCCGGGGGGAUGAAGGCUGCGGAUGCUACCUGUUGCUUUCCACGUUUCGAUGUACUGCAGAUGAGCCCUCUGGAUCACCACUACCUUGAGAUUACGGACCAGGAAAUGCAGGGCGCUAGUCGUGGGAAGAGUUGGGCCAAAACAGUGCAAAAGGAAUGGAAAAUUCUGGAGAACGACUUACCAGAAACCAUCUACGUGCGAGCAUUCGAGGACCGCAUGGAUCUGCUUCGGGUGGUGAUGGUGGGUGUGAGCGGGACACCAUACCAUCAUGGCCUUUUCUUCUUCGAUCUGCAGCUACCUCCGUCAUACCCGUCUGCCCCACCGCAAGUGUACUACCACUCCUUCGGCUUACGGCUCAAUCCCAACCUCUAUGAGUCUGGUACGGUGUGCCUCAGCUUGCUAAACACAUUCGGUGGCGAGGGCACCGAGGUCUGGUCCUCGACGACAUCAAACCUCCUCCAAGUCGUUGUCUCCAUCCAGGGCCUUGUCCUCAAUGACCAACCAUACUACAACGAGGCCGGGUAUGGAACAUUGGUCAACAAACCAGAGGGUCGCCGCAAUGCGCUGCCCUACAAUGAGAAUGCUUACCUGCUUACCCUUCGGACAAUGCAACAUCUUUUACGUCGACCACCUCAGGGAUAUGAGGAAUUCGUUAAGGAACACUUCUGCCUUCGGGGAAGGUUUGUGCUCAGGACAUGCAAUGCGUGGUUGCAGGGAAAUAGUGUCGACAAUGCUCAUGACACUGAAGCAAGUAGGAAGCGGUCGUGCUCGGCUGGGUUAAGGCUUGCACUCACCAACGUGGUGCCAAGCCUCAUGACAGCCUUCACAGAGAUCGGAGCCGAGGGAUGCGAAGAGUACCAGUAG
rnacentral:rRNA from 1 species